rnacentral:tRNA from 1 species
UGGGUUGUAGCUCAGUGGUGGAGCAGUUGCCUUGCAUGUGUGAGGCACUGGGUUCGAUUCUCAGCACCACAU